GAAAUAGCAGGACAGGUGUGUGGAAACCUUUGGAUUGAUGGAUAGGCCUCUUACUAGCUGCCAUUCGGAAGGAUUAGUGCCACUGUCCUUCAGGCUGAGCAAGAUGGAUCAUUUCAGUGUCACUCGCCAGUCAGUCAAAUUGUGACAAAAGGCAGUCUCUUCCCAUCAGGAUCUGGAGGUGCCGAAGAGGCAGGCCGUCAGCAGGGACUCUCUUUGCAGCACAUAAAGCCCAGGUCCUGAGAGGAAGGAGUGGGAAGGAGCAGGAAAUUGGACUUAAGUCGCCUCCAAAUCAACACAGAGUUCAAUCCUGCACAUUUUAAGCAUUUAUGGCACCAGCAGUGAGAAAAGAAAGGAAGAUGUAUUCUGAACAAGACCAAGAAAAACGAAGGGUGAAGGAGAAGAAGUAGUGCUCUUUCAUUGCAUGAUACAAGAGAAUAAGCACCACAUUGCUAAAACCUGCUGUAUCACAUGCACACACACAAAAUCUCCAUAUUAGGGCAAAGACUUAAUAUUUCUGAAACCACAUAAGUUCUCAAUUUUUUAAACUGUAUCACAUAGGAAGAUGCUCGUAACAAUCAUGAGAAGAUGGAAU